rnacentral:rRNA from 1 species
UACAGAGGGCUCAAGCGUUGUUCGGAUUCAUUGGGCGUAAAGGGUGCGUAGGCGGCGCGGUAAGUCGGGUGUGAAAUUUCGAGGCUUAACUUCGAAACUGCAUUCGAUACUGCCGUGCUUGAGGACUGGAGAGGAGACUGGAAUUUACGGUGUAGCGGUGAAAUGCGUAGAUAUCGUAAGGAAGACCAGUGGCGAAGGCGGGUCUCUGGACAGUUCCUGACGCUGAGGCACGAAGGCCAGGGGAGCAAACGGG